rnacentral:rRNA from 1 species
UACGGAGGGUGCGAGCGUUGUCCGGAAUCAUUGGGCGUAAAGGGCGCGUAGGUGGCCCGGUCAGUUCGUGGUGAAAGCGCGGGGCUCAACCCUGCGUCGGCCAUGAAUACUGCCGCGGCUGGGAGCACUGUAGAGGCAGGCGGAAUUCCGGGUGUAGCGGUGGAAUGCGUAGAGAUCCGGAAGAACACCGGUGGCGAAGGCGGCCUGCUGGGCAGUUGCUGACACUGAGGCGCGACAGCGUGGGGAGCAAACAGGG